AUAUUCAUCAUGUAUGCUUUUCUAAUUAUAAGGGGGGUGGGGGAUGAAGAGGAAACUUUUCGAGCCACACACCGGAAUUUACUUUGAGGAAAUUAAAGUGUUCAUAGCAAAUAAGUGUUUGAAUACUACAGCAUGGAAUAACAAAAUAGGACUUUGGUAUUGUUUUGUUGGAGUAGAGAAACCAAAGUAAAGAUGAAUAGGGACAGUUGGGGGCAUUGGAAUUUGAUAGUCAGAGGUGAAAUUCAUGGAUUUAUCAAAGACCAACAAAGGCGAAAGCAUUUGCCAAGGAUGUUUUCAUUGAUCAAGAACGAAAGUCAGGGGAUCGAAGACGAUUAGAUACCGUCGUAGUCUUGACCGUAAACGAUGCCGACUUGGGGGAGGUGCGAGAUGAGAAGCGGAUCUCAACCAAAGGAGAAAUCAAAGUGUAUGGGUUCUGGGGGGAGUAUAGUCGCAAGGCCGAAACUUGAAGGAAUUGACGGAAGGGCACCACCAGGAGUGGAGCCUGCGGCUUAAUUUGACUCAACACGGGAAAACUUACCAGGUCCAGACACAAUGAGGAUUGACAGAUUGAGAGCUCUUUCUUGAUUUUGUGGGUGGUGGUGCAUGGCCGUUCUUAGUUGGUGGAGUGAUUUGUCUGCUUAAUUGCGAUAACGAACGAGACCUUAACCUGCUAAAUAGCCCGUAUUGCUUUGGCAGUACGCCGGCUUCUUAGAGGGACUAUCGG
rnacentral:rRNA from 1 species